UGGGGAAUAUUGCACAAUGGAGGGAACUCUGAUGCAGCGACGCCGCGUGAACGAAGAAGGCUUUCGAGUCGUAAAGUUCUUUUAUAUGGGAAGAUAAUGACGGUACCAUAAGAAAAAGCCCCGGCUAAAUACGUGCCAGCAGCCGCGGUAAUACGUAUGGACCGAGCGUUGUCCGGAAUCAUUGGGCGUAAAGGGUACGUAGGCGGCCCAGUAAGUUAGAAGUGAAAUAAUAUAGCUCAACUAUAUAAAGCUUUUAAAACUGCUAGGCUUGAGAGAUGGAAGGGAAAGUGGAAUUCCUAGUGUAGCGGUGAAAUGCGCAGAUAUUAGGAAGAAUACCGGUGGCGAAGGCGACUUUCUGGUCAUCAUCUGACGCUGAGGUACGAAAGCGUGGGUAGCAAACAGG
rnacentral:rRNA from 1 species